GGAAUAUUGGGCAAUGGAGGAAACUCUGACCCAGCGACGCCGCGUGCGGGAUGAAGGCCUUCGGGUUGUAAACCGCUUCCAGUAGGGAAGAAGCGAAAGUGACGGUACCUACAAAAGAAGCACCGGCUAACUAUGUGCCAGCAGCCGCGGUAAUACAUAGGGUGCAAGCGUUGUCCGGAAUUAUUGGGCGUAAAGAGCUCGUAGGUCGUUCGUUACGUCGGAUGUGAAAACCUGAGGCUCAACCUCAGGCCUGCAUUCGAUACGGGCAAACUAGAGUUUGGUAGGGGAGACUGGAAUUCCUGGUGUAGCGGUGGAAUGCGCAGAUAUCAGGAGGAACACCAAUGGCGAAGGCAGGUCUCUGGGCCAAUACUGACACUGAGGAGCGAAAGUCUGGGGAGCAAACAGGAUUAGAUACCCUGGUAGUCCAGACCGUAAACGGUGGGCACUAGUUGUGGGAACCUUCCACGGUUUCUGCGACGCAGCUAACGCAUUAAGUGCCCCGCCUGGGGAGUACGAUCGCAAGAUUAAAACUCAAAUGAAUUGACGG
rnacentral:rRNA from 1 species